GACGAACGCUGGCGGCGUGCUUAACACAUGCAAGUCGUACGGUAAGGCCCUUUCGGGGGUACACGAGUGGCGCACGGGUGAGUAACACGUGAGUAACCUGCCCACAACUUUGGGAUAACGCUAGGAAACUGGUGCUAAUACUGGCUAUGUGCUCCUGCUGCAUGGUGGGGGUUGGAAAGCUCCGGCGGUUUUGGAUGGACUCGCGGCCUAUCAGCUUGUUGGUGGGGUAGUGGCCUACCAAGGCGGCGACGGGUAGCCGGCCUGUGAGGGUGACCGGCCACAUUGAGGCCGAGAGACGGCCGAAACGGCGACGGGAGGCAGAAGUGGGGAAGAUUGCACAAUGGGCGCAAGCCUGGUGCAGCAACGCCGCGUGCGGGAUGACGGCCUUCGGGUUGUAAACCGCUUUCAGCAGGGACGAAGCUUUUUGUGACGGUACCUGCAGAAGAAGCACCGGCUAACUACGUG
rnacentral:rRNA from 1 species